UACGAAGGGGGGCUAGCGUUACUCGGAAUUACUGGGCGUAAAGGGCGCGUAGGCGGCGCUCCAAGUUAGGCGUGAAAGUCCUGGGCUCAACCUGGGAACUGCGCUUAAGACUGGAGUGCUUGAGGAUGGAAGAGGGUCGUGGAAUUCCCAGUGUAGAGGUGAAAUUCGUAGAUAUUGGGAAGAACACCGGUGGCGAAGGCGGCUCUCUGGACCGUAACUGACGCUGAGGCGCGAAAGCGUGGGGAGCAAACAGG
rnacentral:rRNA from 1 species